rnacentral:rRNA from 1 species
UACGUAGGGGGCAAGCGUUGUCCGGAGUUACUGGGCGUAAAGCGCGCGCAGGCGGCGCAUCGCGCCCGGCGUGAAAGCCCCCGGCUCAACCGGGGAGGGUCGUCGGGGACGGGUGCGCUUGAGGACGGCAGGGCAGGUGGAAUUCCCGGUGUAGUGGUGAAAUGCGUAGAGGAUGGGAGGAACACCCGUGGCGAAGGCGGCCUGCUGGGCCGAUCCUGGACGCUGAG